rnacentral:tRNA from 1 species
GCUUGGGUGGCUCAGUCGGUUGAGCAUCUGACUUUGGUUCAGGUCAUGAUCUGGCAGUUUGUGGGUUCAAGCCCCACAUCAGCU